rnacentral:tmRNA from 1 species
GGGGGCGACCCGGAUUCGACGGAGGAAAUAAGACCUAGGUGCAUGCCGAGGCUGUAGUAAACCUCGUAAAAAAUUACUGCUUUAAAUUUAGUUGCCAACGACGACAACUACGCCCUAGCGGCUUAAAGCUAGUCUCUGCCAACCGAUUGCCUAUGUAGGCUGGUGGGGAUCGAUUAAUAGGAUCGCGUUGUGUUCUUGACAUUGGAACAGGAUGCUAAAAAUUAGAUGUCUCGGCUUGUGCUAUCCCGUUCAUUGGAUCAGCGCAAGUCUAAAUUGAAAAGUGAAUCUAAGCAUGUAGAUCCAAAGUUGGAAAGCCUGCGGACGCGGGUUCAAUUCCCGCCGCCUCCACCA